rnacentral:lncRNA from 1 species
UCUUCUAAGAUAUAAAAUACAUGUCGUGUGAAACUUCAACCUUCUUUGUGUGUGUGUGUGCACGAACGCAGCCAUACGGCAGUACGAGCCAUGUCAAACCUCGCCGAUCCAUAGCCAAUCCAAUGCUUUCCAUGUGUUUACAUGCAUUUUACAUGGUUAACGUCUGCAGGUGAAAGAUCGCAAACCUUCCUCUGUUUAUAAACAACGAGAGCUCUGCCGGCGACCAGAGCAGAGAAGGAUUUGAAAACAGCACAAGUUGAACGAGCGCAUCGCGACUGUGGGUCGGAGAGCCUUCAUGAAUCGGUAGCAGCGGCGACUCCGAGGGCGCAUCGUCAAGGGCAAGCAUGUCGGGGAGAGGUGGUAUGCCGGGUCGCGCGCUGCUGAUCACCGCCGGCUGGUUGACGUUCAUCUACUGGGGUUGGCUCAAGAUCGCCCGCAACGAGAUGUUCGUGCCCGCCGACGAGAGGAAGCCUCUGCCGCACGAACUGCUGUACAACUACGUCACCACCGGCCACUGGGACGGCAACACCGAGUCGGCCGAGCCGAGUGGCGACAAUAAAGGAAAGAAGGAGGCGUG